rnacentral:rRNA from 1 species
UACAGAGGCCUCAAGCGUUGUUCGGAAUCACUGGGCGUAAAGGGUGCGUAGGCGGCGCGGAAAGUCAGGGGUGAAAUCCCGGAGCUCAACUCCAGAACUGCCUUUGAUACUGGCGAGCUUGAGUUCGGGAGAGGUGAGUGGAACUGCGAGUGUAGAGGUGAAAUUCGUAGAUAUUCGCAAGAACACCAGUGGCGAAGGCGGCUCACUGGCCCGAUACUGACGCUGAGGUGCGAAAGCGUGGGGAGCAAACAGG